rnacentral:rRNA from 1 species
UCUGAACCAGCCAUGCCGCGUGCAGGAAGACAGCCCUCUGGGUCGUAAACUGCUUUUAUUCGGGAAUAAACCUAUCUACGUGUAGAUAGCUGAAUGUACCGAAGGAAUAAGGAUCGGCUAACUCCGUGCCAGCAGCCGCGGUAAUAG